GGUUGUGUGGUGCAGUGGUAGCACGUCGCCCUCCGGAGGCGAAGGUCGCGGUUUCGACUACCGUCACGAUCA
rfam:Beta vulgaris subsp. vulgaris contig131502.1, whole genome shotgun sequence.